rnacentral:rRNA from 1 species
UCUCCUGGAAACGGGUGGUAAUGCGGGAUGCUCCGACAUGACGCAUGUCGUGUCGGGAAAGAUUCUAUCGGUAUGGGAUGGGGUCGCGUCCUAUCAGCUUGAUGGCGGGGUAACGGCCCACCAUGGCUUCGACGGGUAGCCGGCCUGAGAGGGCGACCGGCCACAUUGGGACUGAGAUACGGCCCAGACUCCUACGGGAGGCAGCAGUGGGGAAUAUUGCACAAUGGGCGCAAGCCUGAUGCAGCGACGCCGCGUGCGGGAUGACGGCCUUCGGGUUGUAAACCGCUUUUGACUGGGAGCAAGCCCUUCGGGGUGAGUGUACCUUUCGAAUAAGCACCGGCUAACUACGUGCCAGCAGCCGCGGUAAUACGUAGGGUGCAAGCGUUAUCCGGAAUUAUUGGGCGUAAAGGGCUCGUAGGCGGUUCGUCGCGUCCGGUGUGAAAGUCCAUCGCUUAACGGUGGAUCCGCGCCGGGUACGGGCGGGCUUGAGUGCGGUAGGGGAGACUGGAAUUCCCGGUGUAACGGUGGAAUGUGUAGAUAUC